GACGAACCGUGCAAACGUUAUUCGGAAUCACUGGGCAUAAAGGGCGCGUAGGCGGCUUUCUAAGUCAGGGGUGAAAUCCGGCAGCUCAACUGUCGCAGUGCCUUUGAUACUGGAGAGCUCGAGGGAGGUAGGGGUCUGUGGAACUUCCGGUAGAGCGGUGAAAUGCGUUGAUAUCGGAAGGAACGCCGGUGGCGAAAGCGACGGACUGGAUCUCUUCUGACGCUGAGGCGCGAAAGCCAGGGGAGCAAACGGG
rnacentral:rRNA from 1 species